rfam:Citrus sinensis cultivar Ridge Pineapple sweet orange scaffold00514_contig_11, whole genome shotgun sequence.
AUACCGUGAUGAGAACACCUUCUGAGCAAUUCCUUGAACUUUUCCCAAGCCUCGUACAAACUCUCAUCUUCAAGUUGAUGAAAGGAAGUAAUCUCAUUCCGCAACUUU